rnacentral:rRNA from 1 species
GGGUUGUGAGGUUAAGCGACUAAGCGUACACGGUGGAUGCCCUGGCAGUCAGAGGCGAUGAAGGACGUGCUAAUCUGCGAAAAGCGUCGGUAAGGUGAUAUGAACCGUUAUAACCGGCGAUGUCCGAAUGGGGAAACCCAGUGUGAUUCGUCACACUAUCGUUAACUGAAUACAUAGGUUAACGAGGCGAACCGGGGGAACUGAAACAUCUAAGUACCCCGAGGAAAAGAAAUCAACCGAGAUUCCCCCAGUAGCGGCGAGCGAACGGGGAGCAGCCCAGAGUCUGAAUCAGCUUGUGUGUUAGUGGAACGGUCUGGAAAGUCCGACGGUACAAGGUGAUAGGCCCGGACACCAAAAUGCACAGGCUUUGAACUCGACGAGUAGGGCGGGACACGUGGUAUCCUGUAUGAAUAUGGGGGGACCAUCCUCCAAGGCUAAAUACUCCUGACUGACCGAUAGUGAACCAGUACCGUGAGGGAAAGGCGAAAAGAACCCCGGCGAGGGGAGUGAAAAAGAACCUGAAACCGUGUACGUACAAGCAGUGGGAGCCUCUUUAUGGGGUGACUGCGUACCUUUUGUAUAAUGGGUCAGCGACUUAUAUUCUGUAGCAAGGUUAACCGUAUAGGGGAGCCGCAGGGAAACCGAGUCUUAACUGGGCGUUAAGUUGCAGGGUAUAGACCCGAAACCCGGUGAUCUAGCCAUGGGCAGGUUGAAGGUUGGGUAACACUAACUGGAGGACCGAACCGACUAAUGUUGAAAAAUUAGCGGAUGACUUGUGGCUGGGGGUGAAAGGCCAAUCAAACCGGGAGAUAGCUGGUUCUCCCCGAAAGCUAUUUAGGUAGCGCCUCGUGAACUCAUCUUCGGGGGUAGAGCACUGUUUCGGCUAGGGGGUCAUCCCGACUUACCAACCCGAUGCAAACUACGAAUACCGAAGAAUGUUAUCACGGGAGACACACGGCGGGUGCUAACGUCCGUCGUGAAGAGGGAAACAACCCAGACCGCCAGCUAAGGUCCCAAAGUCAUGGUUAAGUGGGAAACGAUGUGGGAAGGCACAGACAGCCAGGAUGUUGGCUUAGAAGCAGCCAUCAUUUAAAGAAAGCGUAAUAGCUCACUGGUCGAGUCGGCCUGCGCGGAAGAUGUAACGGGGCUAAACCAUGCACCGAAGCUGCGGCAGCGACACUAUGUGUUGUUGGGUAGGGGAGCGUUCUGUAAGCCUGCGAAGGUGGCCUGUGAGGGUUGCUGGAGGUAUCAGAAGUGCGAAUGCUGACAUAAGUAACGAUAAAGCGGGUGAAAAGCCCGCUCGCCGGAAGACCAAGGGUUCCUGUCCAACGUUAAUCGGGGCAGGGUGAGUCGACCCCUAAGGCGAGGCCGAAAGGCGUAGUCGAUGGGAAACAGGUUAAUAUUCCUGUACUUGGUGUUACUGCGAAGGGGGGACGGAGAAGGCUAUGUUAGCCGGGCGACGGUUGUCCCGGUUUAAGCAUGUAGGCGGAGGUUCCAGGUAAAUCCGGUACCUUUUAACGCUGAGGUGUGAUGACGAGGCACUACGGUGCUGAAGUAACAAAUGCCCUGCUUCCAGGAAAAGCCUCUAAGCAUCAGGUAACAUUAAAUCGUACCCCAAACCGACACAGUUGGUCAGGUAGAGAAUACCAAGGCGCUUGAGAGAACUCGGGUGAAGGAACUAGGCAAAAUGGUGCCGUAACUUCGGGAGAAGGCACGCUGGUGUGUAGGUGAAGUCCCUGCGGAUGGAGCUGAGACCAGUCGAAGAUACCAGCUGGCUGCAACUGUUUAUUAAAAACACAGCACUGUGCAAACACGAAAGUGGACGUAUACGGUGUGACGCCUGCCCGGUGCCGGAAGGUUAAUUGAUGGGGUUAUCCGUAAGGAGAAGCUCUUGAUCGAAGCCCCGGUAAACGGCGGCCGUAACUAUAACGGUCCUAAGGUAGCGAAAUUCCUUGUCGGGUAAGUUCCGACCUGCACGAAUGGCGUAAUGAUGGCCAGGCUGUCUCCACCCGAGACUCAGUGAAAUUGAACUCGCUGUGAAGAUGCAGUGUACCCGCGGCAAGACGGAAAGACCCCGUGAACCUUUACUAUAGCUUGACACUGAACAUUGAGCCUUGAUGUGUAGGAUAGGUGGGAGGCUUUGAAGCGUGGACGCCAGUCUGCGUGGAGCCAACCUUGAAAUACCACCCUUUAAUGUUUGAUGUUCUAACGUUGGCCCCUUAUCGGGGUUGCGGACAGUGUCUGGUGGGUAGUUUGACUGGGGCGGUCUCCUCCCAAAGAGUAACGGAGGAGCACGAAGGUUAGCUAAUCCUGGUCGGACAUCAGGAGGUUAGUGCAAUGGCAUAAGCUAGCUUGACUGCGAGCGUGACGGCGCGAGCAGGUGCGAAAGCAGGUCAUAGUGAUCCGGUGGUUCUGAAUGGAAGGGCCAUCGCUCAACGGAUAAAAGGUACUCCGGGGAUAACAGGCUGAUACCGCCCAAGAGUUCAUAUCGACGGCGGUGUUUGGCACCUCGAUGUCGGCUCAUCACAUCCUGGGGCUGAAGUAGGUCCCAAGGGUAUGGCUGUUCGCCAUUUAAAGUGGUACGCGAGCUGGGUUUAGAACGUCGUGAGACAGUUCGGUCCCUAUCUGCCGUGGGCGCUGGAGAAUUGAGGGGGGCUGCUCCUAGUACGAGAGGACCGGAGUGGACGCAUCACUGGUGUUCGGGUUGUCAUGCCAAUGGCACUGCCCGGUAGCUAAAUGCGGAAGAGAUAAGUGCUGAAAGCAUCUAAGCACGAAACUUGCCCCGAGAUGAGUUCUCCCUGAGACUAUAAGUCUCCUGAAGGAACGUUGAAGACGACGACGUUGAUAGGCCGGGUGUGUAAGCGCAGCGAUGCGUUGAGCUAACCGGUACUAAUGAACCGUGAGGCUUAACCUUACAACGCCGAAGCUGUU